AAAAUAAAAAGCUAAGAAAAGUGGAGGAAAUAAACUAAGAAGAGAAUUUUGAUUCUUCGUCAAUAAGUGGUUGAUGUGAAAGCUGAGAAUUUUGAUUCUUCGUCAAUAAGUGGUUGAUGUGAAAGCUGAGAAUUUUGAUUCUUCGUCAAUAAGUGGUUGAUGUGAAAGCUGAGGCCUGGCCCAUGCCUGUCUCAUUUAAUGGCAGUGGAACAGAAACUGACCACAACAAA
rnacentral:lncRNA from 1 species